GACGAACGCUGGCGGCGUGCUUAACACAUGCAAGUCGAACGGAAAGGCCCUGCUUUUGUGGGGUGCUCGAGUGGCGAACGGGUGAGUAACACGUGAGUAACCUGCCCUUGACUUUGGGAUAACUUCAGGAAACUGGGGCUAAUACCGGAUAGGAGCUCCUGCUGCAUGGUGGGGGUUGGAAAGUUUCGGCGGUUGGGGAUGGACUCGCGGGUUAUCAGCUUGUUGGUGGGGUAGUGGCUUACCAAGGCUUUGACGGGUAGCCGGCCUGAGAGGGUGACCGGCCACAAUGGGACUGAGAUACGGCCCAGACUCCUACGGGAGGCAGCAGUGGGGAAUAUUGCACAAUGGGCGGAAGCCUGAGGCAGCAACGCCGCGUGCGGGAUGACGGCCUUCGGGUUGUAAACCGCUUUCGCCUGUGACGAAGCGUGAGUGACGGUAAUGGGUAAAGAAGCACCGGCUAACUACGUG
rnacentral:rRNA from 1 species